rnacentral:rRNA from 1 species
UACGUAGGGUGCGAGCGUUGUCCGGAAUUAUUGGGCGUAAAGGGCUCGUAGGCGGUUUGUCGCGUCGGGAGUGAAAACGCCGUGCUUAACACGGCGCUUGCUUUCGAUACGGGCAGACUAGAGGUAUUCAGGGGAGAACGGAAUUCCUGGUGUAGCGGUGAAAUGCGCAGAUAUCAGGAGGAACACCGGUGGCGAAGGCGGUUCUCUGGGAAUGACCUGACGCUGAGGAGCGAAAGCGUGGGGAGCAAACAGG